AUCCAACUAACGAGUCCCAAAUGGAACGAAACGUGCGUCCUGGAU
rfam:Schistosoma curassoni strain Dakar, Senegal genome assembly, scaffold: SCTD_scaffold0015348